rnacentral:rRNA from 1 species
CAAUAGCGUAUAUUAAAGUUGUUGCAGUUAAAAAGCUCGUAGUUGGAUUUCUGGUCGGAAGCUCCUGUCCUCUGAUGAGCGUACAAGUGCGUCCUACCAUCCUUCUGUUAACCUUUAAGGCUUUCGCGGCUUUCUAGGGGCUCAGAUAUUUUACCUUGAGAAAAUUAGAGUGUUUCAGGCAGGCUAGCGCCGGAAUACAUUAGCAUGGAAUAAUGGAAUAGGACUUUUGCCUCUUCUGUUGGUCAUGAGGCUCGAGUAAUGAUUAAUAGGGAUAGUUGGGGGCAUUAGUACUUAACUGUCAGAGGUGAAAUUCUCGGAUUUGUUAAAGACUAACUUGUGCGAAAGCAUUUGCCAAGGAUGUUUNCAUUA